rnacentral:rRNA from 1 species
CUAACACAUGCAAGUCGAACGNGUAACAGGAAACAGCUUGCUGUUUCGCUGACGAGUGGCGGACGGGUGAGUAAUGUCUGGGAAACUGCCCGAUGGAGGGGGAUAACUACUGGAAACGGUAGCUAAUACCGCAUAACGUCGCAAGACCAAAGAGGGGGACCCUCAGGCCUCUUGCCAUCGGAUGUGCCCAGAUGGGAUUAGCUUGUUGGUGGGGUAACGGCUCACCAAGGCGACGAUCCCUAGCUGGUCUGAGAGGAUGACCAGCCACACUGGAACUGAGACACGGUCCAGACUCCUACGGGAGGCAGCAGUGGGGAAUAUUGCACAAUGGGCGCAAGCCUGAUGCAGCCAUGCCGCGUGUAUGAAGAAGGCCUUCGGGUUGUAAAGUACUUUCAGCGGGGAGGAAGGGAGUAAAGUUAAUACCUUUGCUCAUUGACGUUACCCGCAGAAGAAGCACCGGCUAACUCCGUGCCAGCAGCCGCGGUAAUACGGAGGGUGCAAGCGUUAAUCGGAAUUACUGGGCGUAAAGCGCACGCAGGCGGUUUGUUAAGUCAGAUGUGAAAUCCCCGGGCUCAACCUGGGAACUGCAUCUGAUACUGGCAAGCUUGAGUCUCGUAGAGGGGGGUAGAAUUCCAGGUGUAGCGGUGAAAUGCGUAGAGAUCUGG